rnacentral:lncRNA from 7 species
CGAUGUGGGGGAAAGGCAUUGUGACAUCACAGAGCAGGGCAUGACAUCAGACUUGGUCAAGUCACGCUGGACGCCUCCCCCACCUCAGACACUUGGAGCAACAGCUCCGUCCUGGUGGUCACUGCUGGAGCUCUGCUCUGCGUGACAGCCAUUUGUGUGUAGAGAUUGUUCUUUGGGAGAGAACAGGAUGAAGUUCAGCCUGACUCUCUUCCUGGCCAUGGCUCUGAGCCUGUCUCCAUUUGCGGGACGUGGCCCAGGCUGUCCCAGCUACCUCAGCUGGGUCUGCAGUUGCGACCAAAAGGUCCUUCCAAAGGAGCAGCAUCGGGUGGUGACCAAGAGCCAGUCCUCCACCCGGCGGGGCUGGUUCGGCCUAACCUCCUGUCCCAUCAGGGUCGAGGACAAAACAACAAGAGAUCCAUCCAGAGGAGCCACCUGUGGAAGAGACCAAGAGCGAGACCUCCACCUGGCGCUGCUGGCUAGGCCUAACCUCCUGCCCUGUCAGGAAUGAGGAGAAGAACAACAACAAGGCCCUUCCUGAGGAGCAGCCUAUGCAGGAGACCAACAGCCAGACCUCCACCUGGCGCUGCUGGUUAGGCCUAACGUCCUGCCCUGUCAGGAUCGAGGACACGAAGAACAACCAGGUCCUUCCUGCGGAGCAGCCUGUGGAGGAGACCAAGAGCCAGACCUCCAGCCGCACUCCUGGUUUGGCCUAACCUCCUUCCCCACCACGAUCGAGGACAGGAAGGACAACCAGGCCCUUCCUGAGGAGCAGCCUGUGGAGGAGACCAAGAGCCAGACCUCCACCUGGCGCUGCUGGUUUGGCCUGACAUCCUGCCCCAUCGGGACCAAGGACACGAAGACAAACCAGGUCCUUCCUGAGGAGCAGCGUACGGAGAAAACCAAGAGCCAAACCUCAUACUGGUCCUGCUUGCUUGGCUCUUCCCAAUGCCCCCCGUGGGUCUGGUACAAGGGCAGCAAAGUUGCUGUUCCACAAGGCCCAAAGCAGCAGGCCCCAGGCACCAAGCAGAAGGCCUACAGCUUGCCUGGCAUCCUGGGCCACCUUUGGGACUACCUUAUGCAAAGAGGGAGCACCUGGCUCCUUACAGCUCCCUCGACAAUUUUCUCCAUUCUCUGGCUGCUGACAACUGCCCGUGCCCACUGGAGAAGAUUAAGAAGACCUCGGGGACAGGGAACGGGACAAGUGGACCCAGCUUCCUUAGGAACAGAGGAAACGGACAACAUAAAUGCUCUCGACCUGCUCUGCCAGAUGGAUGCCUACAUAACCUUAAUGGAGAGACUUAUGACGAUCCUCAUGCAGCACCACGUGAAAAAUGUCAGGAGCCAGCAGUGCAGGAAGACGGCGCACGGCACGGGGGGCAGGAAGAGUCCCUCCACAGACUCCUGAGGGAGCUGGCAGAGGUGACUGCCAAGCCGCUCUCGGCCAUCCACCAGCGCUCCUGAUUAACUGGAGAGGUCAACAAGGCCAAGUGGCGGGUCCUGC